rnacentral:rRNA from 1 species
CCUACGGGAGGCUGCAGUGAGGAAUAUUGGUCAAUGGACGAGAGUCUGAACCAGCCAAGUAGCGUGAAGGAUGACUGCCCUAUGGGUUGUAAACUUCUUUUAUAUGGGAAUAAAAUGUUCCACGUGUGGGAUUUUGUAUGUAACAUAUGAAUAAGGAUCGGCUAACUCCGUGCCAGCAGCCGCGGUAAUACGGAGGAUCCGAGCGUUAUCCGGAUUUAUUGGGUUUAAAGGGUGCGUUGGUGGAUUGUUAAGUCAGUUGUGAAAGUUUGAGGCUCAACCGUAACAUUGCAGUUGAAACUUGCAGUCUUGAGUUCAGUAGAGGUGGGCGGAAUGCGUGGUGUAGCGGUGAAAUGCUUAGAUAUCACGAAGAACUCCGAUUGCGAAGGCAGUUCACUGGACUGCAACUGACACUGAGGCUCGAAAGUGUGGGUAUCAAACAGGAUUAGAUACCCGAGUAGUC